rfam:Allomyces macrogynus ATCC 38327 genomic scaffold supercont3.46, whole genome shotgun sequence.
GGGCGUGUGGCCUAGUGGCUAAGGCGUGACCCUCCGAAGGUCAAAAUCGAGGGUUCGAAUCCCUCCUCGCUCG